AUUGAACGCUGGCGGCAGGCUUAACGCAUGCAAGUCGAGCGGAGAUGAGGUGCUUGCACCUUAUCUUAGCGGCGGACGGGUGAGUAAUGCUUAGGAAUCUGCCUAUUAGUGGGGGACAACAUUCCGAAAGGAAUGCUAAUACCGCAUACGCCCUACGGGGGAAAGCAGGGGAUCUUCGGACCUUGCGCUAAUAGAUGAGCCUAAGUCGGAUUAGCUAGUUGGUGGGGUAAAGGCCUACCAAGGCGACGAUCUGUAGCGGGUCUGAGAGGAUGAUCCGCCACACUGGGACUGAGACACGGCCCAGACUCCUACGGGAGGCAGCAGUGGGGAAUAUUGGACAAUGGGCGGAAGCCUGAUCCAGCCAUGCCGCGUGUGUGAAGAAGGCCUUUUGGUUGUAAAGUACUUUAAGCGAGGAGGAGGCUACCUGGAUUAAUACUCUAGGAUAGUGGACGUUACUCGCAGAAUAAGCACCGGCUAACUCUGUGCCAGCCGCCGCGGUAAAAC
rnacentral:rRNA from 1 species